GUGGGGAAUUUUGGACAAUGGGGGCAACCCUGAUCCAGCCAUUCCGCGUGAGUGAAGAAGGCCUUCGGGUUGUAAAGCUCUUUCGUCAGGAACGAAACGGCGGGCUCUAACAUAGCCUGUUAAUGACGGUACCUGAAGAAGAAGCACCGGCUAACUACGUGCCAGCAGCCGCGGUAAUACGUAGGGUGCGAGCGUUAAUCGGAAUUACUGGGCGUAAAGCGUGCGCAGGCGGAUUGUUAAGCAAGACGUGAAAUCCCCGGGCUUAACCUGGGAAUGGCGUUUUGAACUGGCAGUCUAGAGUGCGUCAGAGGGAGGUGGAAUUCCACGUGUAGCAGUGAAAUGCGUAGAGAUGUGGAGGAACACCGAUGGCGAAGGCAGCCCCCUGGGAUGACACUGACGCUCAUGUACAAAAGCGUGGGUAGCAAACAGGAUUAGAUACCCGUGUAGUCC
rnacentral:rRNA from 1 species